GACGAAUGCUGGCUGCGUGCUUAACACAUGCAAGUCGAACGGUGAAGGGGAGCUUGCUCCCCGGAUCAGUGGCGAACGGGUGAGUAACACGUGGGCAACCUGCCCCUCACUCUGGGAUAACUCCGGGAAACCGGGGCUAAUACCGGAUACGACCGGGAGCGAAAUCGCUCCUGGUGGGAAGAACUUCGGUGAGGGAUGGGCCCGCGGCCUAUCAGCUAGUUGGCGGGGUAACGGCCCACCAAGGCGACGACGGGUAGCCGGCCUGAGAGGGCGACCGGCCACACUGGGACUGAGACACGGCCCAGACUCCUACGGGAGGCAGCAGUGGGGAAUAUUGCGCAAUGGGCGAAAGUCUGACGCAGCGACGCAGCGUGAGGGACGAAGGCCUUCGGGUUGUAAACCUCUUUCAGCGGGGACGAAGCGAAAGUGACGGUACCCGCAGAAGAAGCACCGGCUAACUACGUGCCAGCAGCCGCGGUAA
rnacentral:rRNA from 1 species